rnacentral:sRNA from 1 species
CUUGGUCAUUUAGAGGAAGUAAAAGUCGUAACAAGGUUUCCGUAGGUGAACCUGCGGAAGGAUCAUUACAGUGUCUCCCUGCCCUUCGGGGUAGGAUCGCCACCCUUGAUUAUUUAUGAGUGUUGCUUUGGCGGGCCUCGCGGCCUGGCCGCGCCCCGGCUUCGGCGGGGGAGCGCCCGCCAGAGGAUUCUACAAACCUGAUUAUUAGUGUCGUCUGAGUACUAUAUAAUAGUUAAAACUUUCAACAACGGAUCUCUUGGUUCUGGCAUCGAUGAAGAACGCAGCGAAAUGCGAUAAGUAAUGUGAAUUGCAGAAUUCAGUGAAUCAUCGAAUCUUUGAACGCACAUUGCGCCCCGUGGUAUUCCGCGGGGCAUGCCUGUUCGAGCGUCAUUAUGACCAAUCCCGCUCGCGGGGUCUUGGGCACCGCCUCUGGGCGGGCCUCAAAAUCAGUGGCGGUACGGCCGGGCUCUGAGCGUAGUAAAUYUUCUCGCUACAGGGUCCCGGGCGGCACUGGCCAGCAACCCCCAAUCUUUUACAGGUUGACCUCGGAUCAGGUAGGGAUACCCGCUGAACUUAAGCAUAUCAAUAAGCGGAGGAAAAGAAACCAACAGGGAUUACCUCAGUAACGGCGAGUGAAGCGGUAACAGCUCAAAUUUGAAAUCUGGCUCUUUUAGGGUCCGAGCUGUAAUUUGUAGACGAUGCUUUGGGUGUGGUGCCGGUCUAAGUUCCUUGGAACAGGACGUCAUAGAGGGUGAGAAUCCCGUAUGUGAUCGGUCGCCUUCGCCCGUGUAAAGCUCGUUCGACGAGUCGAGUUGUUUGGG